rnacentral:rRNA from 1 species
UAAUGGUGGGAACUCCAGGGAGACUGCCGGUGAUAAACCGGAGGAAGGUGGGGACGACGUCAAGUCAUCAUGGCCCUUACGAGUAGGGCUACACACGUGCUACAAUGGCGUAUACAGAGGGCUGCCAACCAGCGAUGGUGAGCGAAUCCCAGAAAGUACGUCGUAGUCCGGAUUGGAGUCUGCAACUCGACUCCAUGAAGUCGGAAUCGCUAGUAAUCGUGAAUCAGAAUGUCACGGUGAAUACGUUCCCGGGCCUUGUACACACCGCCCGUCACACCAUGGGAGUGGGCUGCACCAGAAGUAGAUAGCUUAACCUUCGGGAGGGCGUUUACCACGGUGUGGUUCAUGACUGGGGUGAAGUCGUAACAAGGUAGCCCUAGGGGAACCUGGGGCUGGAUCACCUCCUUAC